AGGUUACUUCGGUAACUGACCUAGCGGCGGACGGGUGAGUAAUGCUUAGGAAUCUGCCUAUUAGUGGGGGACAACAUUCCGAAAGGAAUGCUAAUACCGCAUACGUCCUACGGGGGAAAGCAGGGGAUCUUCGGACCUUGCGCUAAUAGAUGAGCCUAAGUCGGAUUAGCUAGUUGGUGGGGUAAAGGCCUACCAAGGCGACGAUCUGUAGCGGGUCUGAGAGGAUGAUCCGCCACACUGGGACUGAGACACGGCCCAGACUCCUACGGGAGGCAGCAGUGGGGAAUAUUGGACAAUGGGCGCAAGCCUGAUCCAGCCAUGCCGCGUGUGUGAAGAAGGCCUUUUGGUUGUAAAGCACUUUAAGCGAGGAGGAGGCUCCUUUAGUUAAUACCUAAAGAGAGUGGACGUUACUCGCAGAAUAAGCACCGGCUAACUCUGUGCCAGCAGCCGCGGUAAUACAGAGGGUGCGAGCGUUAAUCGGAUUUACUGGGCGUAAAGCGUGCGUAGGCGGCCUUUUAAGUCGGAUGUGAAAUCCCUGAGCUUAACUUAGGAAUUGCAUUCGAUACUGGAAAGCUAGAGUAUGGGAGAGGAUGGUGGAAUUCCAGGUGUAGCGGUGAAAUGCGUAGAGAUCUGGAGGAAUACCGAUGGCGAAGGCAGCCAUCUGGCCUAAUACUGACGCUGAGGUACGAAAGCAUGGGGAGCAAACAGGAUUAGAUACCCUGGUAGUCCAUGCCGUAAACGAUGUCUACUAGCCGUUGGGGCCUUUGAGGCUUUAGUGGCGCAGCU
rnacentral:rRNA from 1 species